ensembl:lncRNA
AUCUUCUUAUUUGGAAGUUAUUCCCCAGGUGUGAGAUCUUGGUGGAAAGCAAUGCUUUUCCUCCAGUUAUAGAAGCCAGAGGUCUAAAGCCUGUCUCUUCCAGAAUCUCAGCCUCAAGGACUUGGGCAUCAUGAACAGACAUAUGACCUUCCUACGAUAUGGGGUGUUGAUUGAGGGAUAAAAAGAGUGAUGGUGGCAGUCUCCUACAAAUGACAGUUCUGUUUCCUGUCUCUUAAUCUUUUGGAGGCACUUGGUCUCAUCUAUUCUAUUUUUUCCAAUCUAUUCUCCAGGCUUGCCUUGAUUAAGUGAAUCAACUCCUGUUUUUUUCAAAGAGGUCAGAACUCAGUUUCUGGGACUUCCCUGGUGGUCCAGUGGUUGACUCCAUGCUUCCACUACAGAGAGGUUGAGGUUGGACGGUGGAACGACUGGUGGUUGGCUAAUACUUCUUCCUCUCACAAGAGUACAACGUAGUCUUUCAUAGAUAAACAGUGAAAUUCACAUUUCCUACUCUUGCUGGGAUGGAACUCACACCCCCUCCACUGGAAGCAUGGGGUCUUAACCCUAAUACCACCAGGAACAUCUUCAUCUUCUAAUUUGUGAAUGAAGCCUAUUAUGAAGCACUUAGAGUAUACAUUCUUUGAGCAUUCAAACCUCAGGUAGCUGGGUGGCCCAAGCAGGCAACUGCUAACACAUACGUGUGUCUCUGUCUCCAGAGCUGGAUACCUGGCAGAUGGAGAGCUUAAGUGUAAAGAGUUGUGUGUCAACUCUGAAUAUCCACUGGAAGACUGAUGCUGAAGCUCCAAUACUUCGGCCACCUGAUGCAAAGAGCCAACUCAUUGGAAAAGACCCUGAUGCUGGGAAAGAUUGAGGGCAGGAGGAGAAGGGGGCAACAGAAGAUGAGAUGGUUGGAUGGCAUCUCUGACUCAAUGGACUUGAAUUUGAGCAAACUCCAGGAGAUAGUGAAGGACAAGGAAGGACAGGGUCCCUGCGGUCCACAGGGUUACAAAGAAUUGGACACAACUUAUCCACUGAAUAACAACAAAUGUAGAGAGCUAAGUGUUAAUGAGUGAGGAGCUUGGAAGGAGAUGGGAGAUUUGUUAUUAGUUGCAUUGGGUGCUGCUAAUGAUGUUACAGAGUUUAUGGUUCAUCCAUCCAGUAAAUGGACCUGUUAUAAUCAUGAGAAAUGGGAAGAUUAGGCCUUCAAAAAGAGGCAGUCAUCCUUCAUUCAUUCCAAGGCAUACUCUGGCACCCACUAUAAGCCAAGGUUUAUUGAAGUCCAUUGGAACUCAGGAAGUCUCUUCUGUAGAAAGACCAUGAGAUGCUACCGUAUAACAAGUUCCCUUUGUGAGCUACGCCAAGACCUAUGUGCCUCUGCCAGUAAAGGCAAGGCUAUCUGCAGCAAGAGGGAAGACUUAAGUAGUGUGUCAGUGUCCUUUGUUGAAAUAUUCUUUCCUAUACUUACACAGUGUUUAAAUUGUCAACAAAAUCUCCCGCUUGAAAUUUACCCCUGAUGUUUAUAUUUCUAUCCAAAAUUGGGGAGAAGGCGGUUCAUCAAUGUUUCAAAUAAGGUAAGAGAACACUAAUUCACUGUUAUCAUAGGACUGUCAUUUCUGUCCUGAGUGAAAUGAAGAGAAGGGACAGGAAACCUUCUCCCUUGGGACAGCUGUGAAUGGUCAGUUGAAGAAAAGUACAAGGAGGCAGAGGCUGGGAACUGAGCAGACGAUAUCCAGCCUCGUGAGUUUUACACAGUAAAGGCAAAGUGGAAGACUGUACCCCUCUCUGUGUCUUUGGUGUUCUGUGACCUCUGCUUCAGUGUUCAUUAAGGGUGAAAUUCCUGGACUUCCCUGGUGGUCCAGUGGCUAAGAAUCUACCUCCCAGUGCAGGCCGACACAGGUUCGAUCCUUGGUGUAGGAAGAUUCCCACAUGCUGAGGGGCAGCUAAGCCCAAGCACUACAACUACUGAGACCCUAUGUCCUAUAGACCAUGCUCUGAAACAAGAGAAGCCACUCCAGUGAGAAGCCUGUGCAUGGCAACUAGUGAGAAGCCCCUGCUCUCCACAACCAGAGAAAAGCCUGCACACAACAGUGAAGACCCAGGGCAGCCAAAAAGUAAAGAAAUAAGAAAAAAUGGGUGAAAUUCCUACUUCGUUGAGAGAUAGGAGACAACCCUACUUCAGUAGACCAUGAAGCAACCAGACUGGGUGAGAAGCUAUGGGAGGGAGGCAUAGGUCUAAAGCAAAGAAGAUCGCCCCUGCCCAACCAGAACUCACUGUGUAGGAGACAGGAGUAUACCAGGACUAUUCACAGCCUGUGGAGGGCCAACGUCCACAAGGGCAUUGAGACUAUAGAGUGUCAACGAGAGAAACAUCGUAAGAUUGAAGGGAAGAAGAUAAAUUAUACCACGCAUUUACUAAUCCAAGUGUUGGGUAGUUAGAACAGGAAACAGGAGUCCAAAAUGGCGGUGGCUAAAAGACAAGGAAGGGAAAAGCCCGUGAGAAUAGAAAAAAGGAAGGUCAAAGGAAGGUCCGAGGACCUGAGUGAGGACCUCUGGUAGAACUAACAGCACUCCUGGCUAGCCCAGUUUGCAUAGGGAAGGCCCAGGGGGAGGAAAAGACAUAAAAAGAGGAGCCACAGAGCACGCCCUCUCUCUCUCUCCCCCGCAUGCUGGCGCGCUACCCUACUCUCUUCUCUUCCCAUCUUUGGGUCGGCAUGCCCUCAUGCCUCGAGGAUGGAUUCCCUUGCUAUUUUCUAAAUAAAAUAGAGCUGUAACACCGAUUUGUCUAAGAGCUAUAACACGGGCUGUCCAAGACCCGAGAGCUGCGACACCCUGAGGGCUUUAAUGUCCGUCACUCCAAAUCUCUGUUGUGAUGAGACAGAACCGAGCAGCAUAUGCUCGCCUGACACAAGGAAAGUUGGCAUGGCUGAAUCAGUUUGAUCUGGGUACAGGCUAGGUGGCAGAGGCCCACGAUGUGAGGGCCUCUCUGGCCAAAGCUGAGUGGGUGGAUGGAAAUUGUUGGGCAGGGGCUGUGGCUGAUUUUACAAGUUAAGUGAUUUUAUAUCACUUAACUUGCUGAACAUCAUAUAACAGGCCUCACUAAAAACUGGCACAUGCCUUAAGGCUGCUUCUUUCAUAUCUUCUCAGAAAAGCCCUGUUAAUCAGGGCCCUGAAUGGCUGCAGGCCUUCUGCAUCCAGUCAUAGCCAGUUACCUGGCUAGGGUCUCCCCCAGGCUAGGCUUCAGGGUGCGUGCUAGUUCCUAGAGUGCCUUUUGCAAAUUAGUACGCAAUUUUACUAAUUGUCCACUAGACAGACACAGUUGAAGGAUGUGUCAACUACAAAUUGGCACUUACCAAGAGCUUUGCCAACAACUGAACAACAAAGGCAUUUGCCAUCUGCCAUGGAGAUUGAACCCCAUCUGCUCUAGCUGUUGACCUUCAUCACCCCCUGAGGGAGCUCAGGGUGGAGUGAGGCCCUCUGUGCUCCCGGCAAUCUGGUGGGACAGGUCUUCAGAUACUUGGAUGUUUUUAGGAACAAAUGUUAUGAUCUCAAUCCUAGCAUCUCCUCAUAUCUAGAGAAGCACUAAAUCCCUUCAUGGUGACAUCAGAUCCUCAUGACUAACAGAAACCCUUUUGUAAAAUGAGCGCUUCAUGGUCCUGAACUCCCCCUUCCCCAAAACCUUAUCUAUUGACUUUCCCCCGCUGCCACUUUGGAGCGGUCUCUCAGAGCUAUCUGAGAUACUGCCUCCCAGGCUGCAGUCCUCAUUUUGCCCCAAAUGAAUUUAAAUCUCAAGUUGUACUUCUUUUUUAGUUGACAGACGUACGGCUUGGUAAAGGGAGUGAAGGCUGGAUUUCAGGCCCCUCUUACUGCCUUAGCAGGGUGUGUUGUGAAAUGUACAACGUGUGUAACUGUGCAUGUCAGGCUUGCUGAGCUUUCUAAUCUCCAAGGACAGUUUCUAUCAACCUUCCUUAAAAGGCACCCUGCGAGGACAGAAUUAGCACCACAUCCAAGGGGAAGAGCAAGUAGCAUUUAGAGAAGAAAAGGUAGGGAUCCAGCUUCAGUUCCACUUUCCUGGUGAAGUCUUCUGUUCCAGGGCCAUCAGAAAUGAUUUUGGAUUCUCAACAGCAAAUCAUUAGGUACUGAAAAACCAGACAGACUGACAGGAUGCCCAGAAGGCAGGGCAAGUAUGAGGUUUCAAAAUCCAAAUUAACCAUUGGGAGUGGUUAUCACCACUUGUCUUGUGAUCCCCACCAUCUCAGAGGAGGAGAAGGAGGCCUGGAAAGCAUUUCCAGUAGAAGAUGAUGAAGACACUGGGAUGGGAAGACAAGAUAAUGAG